UGAUUGCCCAUGUUCCCGCCAUGGCGGCUGAGGGGAUGCGGACCUCCCUCACGGCAACCUCAAAAUAAACCUUCCGCAAACCCCUGGAAGGGCCGUGCGGGAUUCCCAGUGAUUAUCAUCAAUGACUAAUUUGAGUUCCCAGAGACCCGCUGGUCUCAGGAGACAGCUGAGCCCUCUUUCAGCCUGGUGAUGGGUGGAGAGACAAGCCGCAGAACAGACAGCUCCAGGGAGGAAGCUCUUGGAAGUGGCAAUGCAGAUGUUCCUGUUUAUCUGGCCAUUGGAGGACACGAGAGCAACGUGCUCAGAGCUAUCAAGAACCUGAUCUUUUCAGCAAGCUGUUGUCAUGUCUAAAUGAAUUUAUCCAGCAGUUCUCACCCUGUGCUGACGAAGGUGGGCUUGGAGCUCUGGGCAGGUUUUACGUGAGGGGCUGCACAGGUGGGUAGAACAUUAAUUGCCAGCUAAUGAGUUCACAACUUUCAAAAAUAAAUGAGCUGGUAUAUUUUUCUAGAAGAGAAGU
rnacentral:lncRNA from 1 species